GACGAACGCUGGCGGCGUGCUUAACACAUGCAAGUCGAGCGGUAAGGCCCUUUCGGGGGUACACGAGCGGCGAACGGGUGAGUAACACGUGGGUGACCUGCCCUCAGCUCUGGGAUAAGCCUGGGGAAACCGGGUCUAAUACCGGAUAUGACUCCAUGACGCAUGUUGUGGGGUGGAAAGCCUUGUGCGGCUGAGGAUGGGCCCGCGGCCUAUCAGCUUGUUGGUGGGGUGAUGGCCUACCAAGGCGACGACGGGUAGCCGGCCUGAGAGGGCGACCGGGCCACACUGGGGACUGAGACACGGGCCCAGACUCCUACGGGGAGGCAGCAGUGGGGAAUCUUGCGCAAUGGGCAAAGCCCUGACGCAGCGACGCCGCGUGAGGG
rnacentral:rRNA from 1 species